rnacentral:rRNA from 1 species
AGCGAACGCUGGCGGCAGGCCUAGCACAUGCAAGUCGAGCGCCCCGCAAGGGGAGCGGCAGACGGGUGAGUAACGCGUGGGAAUCUACCCAGUUCUACGGAAUAACACAGGGAAACUUGUGCUAAUACCGUAUACGCCCUACGGGGGAAAGAUUUAUCGGAAUUGGAUGAGCCCGCGUUGGAUUAGCUAGUUGGUGGGGUAAUGGCCUACCAAGGCGACGAUCCAUAGCUGGUCUGAGAGGAUGAUCAGCCACACUGGGACUGAGACACGGCCCAGACUCCUACGGGAGGCAGCAGUGGGGAAUAUUGGACAAUGGGCGAAAGCCUGAUCCAGCCAUGCCGCGUGAGUGAUGAAGGCCCUAGGGUUGUAAAGCUCUUUCAGUGGGGAAGAUAAUGACGGUACCCACAGAAGAAGCCCCGGCUAACUUCGUGCCAGCAGCCGCCGUAAUAC